AAGCUGGCACCUCCGGUGUCCGCGUUGUAAUCUCGAGACGUGUUUUCCGUGCGGCUCUAUGGACAAGUCCCUUGGAAUAGGGCAUCGUAGAGGGUGAGAAUCCCGUACUUGCCAUGGAAGAACCGUGCUUUGCGAUACACGCUCUAAGAGUCGAGUUGUUUGGGAUUGCAGCUCAAAAUGGGUGGUAGACUCCAUCUAAAGCUAAAUAUCGGGGAGAGACCGAUAGCGAACAAGUACCGUGAGGGAAAGAUGAAAAGCACUUUGGAAAGAGAGUUAAAAGUACGUGAAAUUGUCGAAAGGGAAGCACUUGAAGUCAGCCAUGCUGCUUGAGACUCAGCCUGGCCUUUGGGCUUGGUGUAUUUCUCGGUGGCAAGCCAGCAUUGGUUUGGGUCGUCGGAGAAGCGCAUAGGGAAUGUGGCGUCCCCGGACGUGUUAUAGCCUUAUGCAGGAUACGACGACCUGGAUCAAGGAACGCAGUGUGCCCUCUGGG
rnacentral:rRNA from 1 species